rnacentral:sRNA from 1 species
UACACAUUAUAAUUACUGUGGGAUGUUAAUUAUUAUUUACAUCUUAACACUUUUGACGUUUUUUUAUUAAAGACUGACAGUUUGAAGAUAUUUCAAAAACUAUUUUUCACAUUCCACUGCCAUGAAUUUAUUUUCGCGACUUAAACGAUUGGGAGGGGCUUCCAGCAAGAACUCCGUGACACUGCCUGUAACUGGUAAGUUUG